GACCAGACUCCUACGGGAGGCAGCAGUGGGGAAUAUUGCACAAUGGGGGAAACCCUGAUGCAGCGACGCCGCGUGAGUGAAGAAGUAUUUCGGUAUGUAAAGCUCUAUCAGCAGGGAAGAAAAUGACGGUACCUGACUAAGAAGCCCCGGCUAACUACGUGCCAGCAGCCGCGGUAAUACGUAGGGGGCAAGCGUUAUCCGGAUUUACUGGGUGUAAAGGGAGCGUAGACGGCAUGGCAAGUCAGAUGUGAAAGCCCGGGGCUCAACCCCGGGACUGCAUUUGAAACUGUCAGGCUGGAGUGCAGGAGAGGUAAGUGGAAUUCCUAGUGUAGCGGUGAAAUGCGUAGAUAUUAGGAGGAACACCAGUGGCGAAGGCGGCUUACUGGACUGUAACUGACGUUGAGGCCCGAAAGCGUGGGGAGCAAACAGGAUUAGAUACCCCCGUACA
rnacentral:rRNA from 1 species